rnacentral:rRNA from 1 species
AGAACGAACGCUGGCGGCGUGCCUAACACAUGCAAGUCCAACGUGAAAGGGGAGCAAUCCCCCGGUAGGGUGGCAAACGGGUGAGUAAUACAUGGGUGAUCUACCUUAGGGAUGGGGAUAUCCUUCCGAAAGGAGGGGCAAUACCGAAUAUUGUCCGGAGCCGUGAAGGGUUCCGGGGAAAGGGAGGCCUCUGAUACAAGCUUUCGCCUUAAGAUGAGCCCAUGGCCCAUCAGCUAGUUGGUAGGGUAAAGGCCUACCAAGGCUACGACGGGUCGCUGGUCUGAGAGGACGACCAGCCACACUGGCACUGAAAUACGGGCCAGACUCCUACGGGAGGCAGCAGUGAGGAAUAUUGCGCAAUGGGGGAAACCCUGACGCAGCAACGCCGCGUGUGGGAAGAAGGCCUUCGGGUCGUAAACCACUUUUGCACGGGACGAAAAAGGGAUAUCGAACAAAUAUCCCCGAUGACGGUACCGUGAGAAUAAGCCACGGCUAACUCUGUGCCAGCAGCCGCGGUAAGACAGAGGUGGCAAGCGUUGUUCGGAAUUACUGGGCGUAAAGAGUCUGUAGGUGGUUUGUCAAGUCUUUGGUGAAAGGCCGUAGCUUAACUAUGGGAAUGCCAAAGAGACUGGCAGGCUGGAGGCUGGGAGAGGGAAGCGGAAUUUCUGGUGUAGCGGUGAAAUGCGUAGAUAUCAGAAGGAAGGCCGGUGGCGAAGGCGGCUUCCUGGAACAGUCCUGACACUGAGAGACGAAAGCGUGGGGAGCAAACAGGAUUAGAUACCCUGGUAGUCC